GGUUUACAACUUUUUUUUUAUUUCUUUUUUUGUUGGCACCUCACACCUACCUGUUUACAACUUAACCUAAUUUAAAAAAAAAUGAAAAAAAAAUUAAUAAAAAAAAAGACGCCGGCCGAUGUCCUUCCCAUGUUUCUAUCCUUGCUUCUUCUUCAUCACCGGCAAGAGUCACGAACGACGGCGAAAACUACAGAUUUCAGGGACUUGGUCAGAGGCGGUGAGUGAGGAAAGGCGGGAGAAUUCGGUGAAGAAGAGCGAGCUUCAGAUUUGGGAGGCGUUCACGAAUUUGGCAGUACAUCAAAGGAGGAGAUCUGGAUUCGUACAUGAGGAAGGGAGGCGUGGAAAAGAAGAUGAACGGUUAAAGGCUCGUGAAGGAUGAGAGAUAAGAAGAAAUUGUAGACUAGAUUAUGAGAUGCUAAGGAAAUAAAGAAGAAGAAUUGCAGAUGAGGAAGAGUUAAGCAAGAAGAAGUGUUAAGGAGGAGACUACGGGACGUGAAAGGAGGAGAGCAGAAGAUUAAAAAAAAGCAUCUGGACCAUUGAUUCAAAAUUAAUCAAUGGACACAGAUUACAAUCCUUGCAUUUAGAUAUUCCACCAAUGAGGAGGAGAGGCGGAG
rnacentral:lncRNA from 1 species